UGUUGAACACUCAAAUUAAGCUUGAAAACAUGCAAAGUACUUUUGAAAUCUGAAGAGGGAAAUCUGUUAAGAAGUUUUUGUGCAAAGAUUGUGUGUCAUCGUUGCAAUAUUAGAAUAUAUAUGAUGCAAAGUCAAUACACCUGUGCAUAUGAUACUUGUUUACUUCGAGACGACAGUUUUUGUCUAAACUAUCAGUUCAUUUCUUCUAUAUCAUUCCUGAAAGAUGGACAGGUUUAGUUCGCAUACAAAUUCUCUCAGAAAAGAACAGCUUGUAUCAUACAACAAAUUGGCAGUCCCAUUUGUGAACUUAAGACGACUACACCAUCUGUCGGGAAAACUCGCUCCAAUACGGAUAUCUUCAGGUCCUAGGCCAUAUAUGUUCUGAAAGGACUGUCCUGUUGUCCAUGUACCAUUGAUCAAGCCGAUCCAAAAAAACUGCGACGGUGAACCUAAAUAAACCAUUGUGAUUGAAGAUUUAAAAAGGACAAGACCUUCCAUCAUGUAAAAUUUAUAGAUUUGGCGAAAUAAAUAUGUAAGCAU